AUGAACGCUGGCGGCGUGCUUAACACAUGCAAGUCGAACGAUGAAGCCCAGCUUGCUGGGUGGAUUAGUGGCGAACGGGUGAGUAACACGUGAGUAACCUGCCCUUGACUCUGGGAUAAGCCUGGGAAACUGGGUCUAAUACUGGAUAUGACUUCUCAUCGCAUGGUGGGGGGUGGAAAGAUUUAUUGGUCUUGGAUGGACUCGCGGCCUAUCAGCUUGUUGGUGAGGUAAUGGCUCACCAAGGCGACGACGGGUAGCCGGCCUGAGAGGGUGACCGGCCACACUGGGACUGAGACACGGCCCAGACUCCUACGGGAGGCAGCAGUGGGGAAUAUUGCACAAUGGGCGCAAGCCUGAUGCAGCGACGCCGCGUGAGGGAUGACGGCCUUCGGGUUGUAAACCUCUUUCAGUAGGGAAGAAGCGAGAGUGACGGUACCUGCAGAAGAAGCGCCGGCUAACUACGU
rnacentral:rRNA from 1 species